UUAACCCCUUUAAGCUCUUUACAGUGAAAUUGGAGGGCUGCGAAGAGGUGAACACACACAGCAACACGUACACGUGGGUGUGAAGCCAUUCUACAGCUGAUAAAGCACAGUCCGGGAAGUGAUCAAGCACACGUACAUCUCUUCUUCUUCAGCAGCUGACUCUGCCCUACAGCUGAACUUUUACCAUAAUUGGGCACUGAUCCCAUGCCCCGUGUUCUUCAGAUGCCAGUUCUUCACUCGCAGGCUGAAGUGUUACAUUUGGAAAAGCUUCAUGAAAAUUUGUGCUCAGCCCCUUUGAAUAACAAGUAUUGGGUCAUCUUGCAGUGGAAAUUAUAUUAGACCAAUUUUCAGAAUAUCUGAGACAGGGUCCUCAGGUGAGUCU
rnacentral:lncRNA from 12 species